GACGAACGCUGGCGGCGUGCCUAAUACAUGCAAGUAGAACGCACAGUUUAUACCGUAGCUUGCUACACCAUAGACUGUGAGUUGCGAACGGGUGAGUAACGCGUAGGUAACCUGCCUGGUAGCGGGGGAUAACUAUUGGAAACGAUAGCUAAUACCGCAUAAUAUUAAUUAUUGCAUGAUAAUUAAUUGAAAGGUGCAAUUGCACCACUACCAGAUGGACCUGCGUUGUAUUAGCUAGUAGGUGAGGUAACGGCUCACCUAGGCGACGAUACAUAGCCGACCUGAGAAGGUGAGCGGCCAGACCGGGACGGAGACAAGGCCCAGAAUACUACGGGAAGGAGCAGUAGUGAAUAUUAGGCGACGGACGAAAGUCGGAACCAGAAACGCCGGGUGAGAGAAGAAGGUUUUAGGAUCGAAAAGCUCGGUUUUGAGAGGAGAACGGGUGUGAGAGUAGAAAGUUCACACUGUGACGGUAUCUUACCAGAAAGAGACGGCUAACUACGUG
rnacentral:rRNA from 1 species